rnacentral:rRNA from 1 species
UACGUAGGGGGCAAGCGUUGUCCGGAAUUACUGGGCGUAAAGAGUGUGUAGGCGGUGUUCCCAGUCUGUUGUGAAAUCUCCCGGCUUAACUGGGAGGGUGCAGCGGAAACUAGAAUGCUAGAGGGUGGGAGAGGUAAGCGGAAUUCCUGGUGUAGCGGUGAAAUGCGUAGAUAUCAGGAGGAACACCUGUGGUGUAGACAGCUUACUGGACCACUUCUGACGCUGAGACACGAAAGCUAGGGGAGCAAACAGG